CAGAUAUUAGUUUAUAUAAAAUUUUAAUUUUGGAGAUUAAAGAUAAUUUUUUUAUUAUAUCUGA
rnacentral:tRNA from 1 species